GGGGGUAUAGCUCAGUGGUAGAGUGCAUGCUUGGCAGGCACGAGGUCCUGGGCUCAAUUCCCAAUGCCUCCA
rnacentral:tRNA from 1 species